rnacentral:rRNA from 1 species
AUGGCCGUGAACGACACCAAGCUGGCCGACGCCGAGAACCCGGGCGCGAUGUGCCGCGGCGGCGGCGGCGGCAUCGACUCCGACUCCGACGUGGACUUCGCGGGCCGCGCCAACUGGCUGCGCGCGGCGGUGCUGGGCGCCAACGACGGGCUGGUGUCCACCGCGUCGCUGAUGCUGGGCGUGGGCGCGGUGAAGCACGAGGUGCGGGCCAUGGUGAUCUCCGGGUUCGCGGGCCUGCUGGCGGGGGUCUGCAGCAUGGCCAUCGGGGAGUUCGUGUCCGUCUGCUCCCAGCGCGACGUGGAGAUCGCGCAGCUCGACCGCGACGGCAAGCGCGGCGGCGACGAGGAGAGGGCGCUGCCCAGCCCCGUCCAGGCCGCGGCGGCCUCGGCCCUCGCCUUCUCCGUCGGCGCCCUCCUGCCGCUGCUGGCGGCGGGCUUCAUCGUCGGGUACAAGCUGCGGGUGGCCGUGGUGGUGGCCGUGGCGACGCUGGCGCUGGCGGCGUUCGGGGUCGUCGGCGCCGUGCUGGGGAGGGCGCCCGUGGUGAGUACUUUUUGUGAGGAUCAAAGUGAGGCCAUGGCUGCCAGGGACGGCAAGAUCGGCGAGAGGAUGGAGGUGGAGGAGGACAAAACUUCCAUUGAGUCCAUGGCGGCCAGAGGCGGGCAUGUGGAUGCAGAGAUGACGGAAUUCAAGUAUGGCGAGGUUGCGGACGAGGAGCUUCACAAGGACAAGAUGAACGGAGGCAAAUCAAAUCAGCAGAUCAAGAACAAGACGACCCCGGAGGAGAACGGAGGCAAGGAAGCAGAUGGAGGAUUAUCAGGAGGCCUAGUGAGCCCCAUGCACUUUACACACUACACACCCAGACAGGUGACAUCCGAUUAUACUACUCGUGGGAUCACCUUGCAGAUCUUCUCCUUCAAGAUUGCCAACAUCAGUUUGGACCUGGAAUGGCCACUCCUGCAAUGGCCACUCAAAGUGUACGGCGUCGUCGCCGCACGAGACAAUGUGGAUCGCAAGCGCAACGUUCUCUUCCACCGGCAAAGGGACAACUUCCAAGAGAUCACCCAAGAAGACCCCUUUCUGUGCUUGACUGGCCCAUCUCGUGCAAUCUCAGCCGAAUCCCCUCUUGAGUUUGAAGUCCAACUAAAACUCAAGGGCGGCCACGCAGAGUCUGAAGACAGCGUGCUGAUCAAUAGAAAAGGCCAUUUCGGUGGUUACCAUACCGAUAAUGGUUUAUAUACUGUCACCUUUGACAACUGUCUUUGCACAGCCGAGUUAAGCCUGCAGAAACUGUAUCGUGGAGCAGUACAAGCCACUUUCUUGCGUGUCGGCAUUGUUAAAGGCAGUCAAAGCCCUUUCAGUUAUGGAGGCAGAGUUGCUUGCUCCUCACCACCUCAGGAAGAUGUGGUAAGGGGUAGUGAAGGCCCUGCCGCUCCCACCCAAGUUGUGUUGCUUGAUUCUCGUUAUUGUGCUGGUGGGAAGAUGCCAAUAGGCGAAGAAGAUGGUUACCUCGAUCUGUCAAGGCAUGUUGUUUCUCUCGAAUUACGGACAGUGAGUGAAGAUUCUGAAGAAUUGGAAGAAACCCUGAAAGUUGUCGUAGAAGCCUACUCUCCUGGUGGUUCUGUGCAAGCUGCUGUCAUGGUCAGGCCUCAAUACUGCGGCAUAAGUAAACAUAAAUGUGACCUCAACGGCUCUAAGAACAUUAUGAGAGAAGAAUUCUAUGAAGCCACCCUCGGUGAGACAUGGAUCCGGGUCGGUUCCGUCACCGUCACAGUCGGGAAAGAUGCCCUGCCACUCCUCGACGUCGAACUCCUCCUACUCGCUGCCCUCCUCGCCGCCUUGUACCUCGUCGGGGGAGAUGACGAUGACAUCCCUGGCAUUGUCGGUGAAUAUUGCCCGCUCUGCCUCCACGAGCUCUGGGUGCUGGUGGUGGCGGCCCUCCAUGAUGAAUCAACUCUUGUUUCGGUCUCAAGCAACCAAGAGAAAAGUUUAAAACUAGCUUCUGUGUCCACUGUUCUGUCAGGACUAAGAUCUUCAAAUGUAAUGCUUGAUGUCAGUUAUCUGGCUUGUGGUGUGAAGCAUGCUGCACUUAUUACAAGGCAGAAGAGGUAUUUACAUGGGGAGAAGAAUGCAGUGGGCGGCUUGGUCCUGGGGCUGGCACAAGCAUUUUUCAACCACAUCUACUCGAGUCAUUGUCAACCUGCAAUGUUGAAAUAA